UUUUAGAAAUUAAUUUAAAGUCUAACCUGCCCACUGAAAUUUUAAAUGGCCGCAGUAUCCUAACUGUGCAAAGGUAGCAUAAUCAUUAGUCUUUUAAUUGAAGGCUGGAAUGAAUGGUUGAAUGAAAUAUUAACUGUUUCAUAAAAAUUUAUAAUAGAAUUUUAUUUUUUAGUCAAAAAGCUAAAAUAUUAUUAAAAGACGAGAAGACCCUAUAAAUCUUUAUAUUAAUAUAUUUUUAAUUAUUUAGAUAAAUUAAAUUAUAAAUAAAAUUAAUAUUUUAUUGGGGUGAUAUUAAAAUUUAAUAAACUUUUAAUUAUUAAUUAACAUAAAUUAAUGAAUUAUUGAUCCAUAGAUAAUGAUUAAAAAUUUAAGUUACUUUAGGGAUAACAGCGUAAUUUUUUUAGAGAGUUCAUAUUGAUAAAAA
rnacentral:rRNA from 1 species